UCUCGCGAGGAUCCUCGGACUUCGCGCGGGACCUCGAAGCGGUUGUCUGGAGACCGCGCAGCCUCUGGCAGCGCCGCGGACGCGUUUGGUUGCGGGGCGCGGCGGGCUGCGCUAACCCGAGCCAUGGCGCCCAAACGGAAAGGGAAGAAAGGGAAGGCCAGAGGCACCCCGACUGUUGACGGGCUUGCUCCGGAGGACAUGAGCAAGGAGCAGGUGGAGGAGCACGUGGGCCGCAUCCGGGAGGAGCUGGACCGAGAGCGGGAGGAACGCAACUACUUCCAGCUGGAGCGGGACAAGAUCCACACUUUCUGGGAGAUCACGCGGCGGCAGCUGGAGGAGAAGAAGGCUGAGCUGCGGAACAAAGACCGGGAGAUGGAGGAGGCUGAGGAGAGGCACCAGGUGGAGAUCAAGGUCUAUAAGCAGAAGGUGAAGCACCUGCUGUACGAGCAUCAGAACAGCCUGACGGAGAUGAAGGCUGAGGGCACUGUGGUGAUGAAACUGGCCCAGAAGGAGCACCGCACACAGGAGGGGGCCCUGCGCCGGGACAUGCGGGCGCUGAAGGUGGAGCUGAAGGAGCAGGAGCUGGCCAACGAGGUGGUGGUGAAGAACCUGCGGCUGAAACACACCGAGGAAAUCACCAAGAUGCGGAAUGACUUUGAGAGGCAGGUGAGAGAAAUCGAGGCCAAGUACGACAAGAAGAUGAAGAUGCUUCGGGACGAGCUUGACCUGCGCAGGAAGACGGAGGUCCACGAGGUGGAGGAGCGCAAGAACAGCCAGAUCAGCGCGCUGAUGCAGCGGCACGAGGAGGCCUUCACGGACAUCAAGAACUACUACAACGACGUCACCCUCAACAACCUGGCGCUCAUCAACUCCCUCAAGGAGCAGAUGGAAGACAUGCGGAAGAGGGGCGAGGUCCUGGAGAAGGAGAUGGCGGAGGUGUCCUUGCAGAACCGGCGCCUGGCGGACCCGCUGCAGAAGGCGCGAGACGAGAUGAGCGACAUGCGCAAGAAGCUCAGCGGCUACGAGAGGGACAAGCACAUCCUGCUGGGCACGAAGGCGCGGCUGAAAGUUGCCGAGAAGGAGCUGAAGAGUCUGCAGUGGGAGCACGAGGUGCUGGAGCAGCGUUUCAUCAAGGUGCAGCAGGAGCGGGAUGAGCUGUACCGGAAGUUCACCGCCGCCAUCCUGGAGGUGCAGCAGAAGACAGGCUUCAAAAACCUUGUCUUGGAGCGCAAGGUGCAGGCGCUGAGUGCCGCCGUGGAGCAGAAGGAGGUGCAGUUCAGUGAGGUGCUGGCAGCCUCCAACCUGGACCCCUCGGCCCUGACCCUCGUGUCCCGCAAGCUGGAGGACGUCCUGGAGGCGAAGAACAGCACCAUCCAGGACUUACAGUACGAGCUGGCGCGCGUCUGCAAGGCCCACAACGACCUGCUGCGUACCUACGAGGCGAAGCUGCUGGCCUUCGGGGUCCCCCUGGACAAUGUGGGCUUCAAGCCCCUGGAGACGGCGGUGGUUGGACAGACGCUGGGCCAAGGCCCCGCGGGACUGGUGGGCACUCCGACGUAGCCCCUGCCUGGGCCCCCCCCGGAUGCCUCCCCCACGCACCAAGGAUAGCAGGAAUUGUUUGAUCCUGAAAGUCUUGUGAGAGGCAUGGUGAGGAGCAUAACCCCACAUAAGACGGCGGAGAAGAGGAGACUCAUUAUUUUUCACAUUUGGAAACUUAAUAUGGAUAGUCUCUGACUGUAUAAUACUGUUUUCCAUGUUGCUUGUUUGCUGGAUGAUUGUGUUUUCUUUGCAAAUGCCUGAGAUGCAGCCGAGGACUAAACCCAGGCUGGUUUCAGGAAGAUGCCUAAAUCCUCCUGGCCCCUCACCUUGCUGCCUUGGUGUCCAUUCUUCGUCAGAAUCCUCGGGGUCAUCCACCUGGGGUUUGAUGGCUUGCCUGCGGUGACACAUGAAAGCUGGCCGAGGGGCUCUGAGACCUGGAAAGAAGCCACCUUUCUGUCUUAACAGGGAAGAGCUGGAAGGAGGAACAAAGCACAGAGACAACGGGGAGCACACGGCAAGGUCAGGGCAGCCUAGUGGGAUGGGCUGGGAGAGCCUAAAGGCAAGAGGUGAGCCCUGCAUUGCCGGUGCCAGACCCACACCGACACGAAAGAAGGAUCUCCUGCGGGUCCCUUUCCACGCAGAAGGGAAAUGGGAGCAGGACGAAGCCACCUAAGAGAGAGCCGGACUAACACAGACGGAAGACCUGUUUCAGGUUGCCCGGGCUCAUCUGGGGCCGCCUUUCCUGUUACCUAUAGUGGUCAGCGCUUCAUAGUUCCUUUUCACAUUCCUGUAUCGGAUUUUUUCCCAUUCUCCCAUCUCUGUCCAUUCUUCCUUGGAGAAGUAUAUGGAAAUGUCUUUGAAAGCA